rnacentral:rRNA from 1 species
UAGUCUGGUGCCAGCAGCCGCGGUAAUUCCAGCUCCAAUAGCGUAUAUUAAAGUUGUUGCAGUUAAAACGCUCGUAGUCGGAUUUCGGGGCAGGUUUGCCGGUCUGCCGAUGGGUAUGCACUGGUAAAACUGUCCUUCCUUCCGGAGACGGCGCCUACUCUUAACUGAGCGGGUGUCGGAGACGGAUCGUUUACUUUGAAAAAAUCAGAGUGUUUCAAGCAGGCAGCUCGCUUUUGCAUGGAUUAGCAUGGGAUAAUGAAAUAGGACUUUGGUGCUAUUUUGUUGGUUUCGAACACCGAAGUAAUGAUUAACAGGGACAGUCAGGGGCACUCGUAUUCCGCCGAGAGAGGUGAAAUUCUUAGACCAGCGGAAGACGAACCACUGCGAAAGCAUUUGCCAGGGAUGUUUUCACUGAUCAAGAACGAAAGUUAGGGGAUCGAAGACGAUCAGAUACCGUCGUAGUCUUAACCAUAAACCAUGCCGACUAGGGAUUGGAGGAUGUUCCUAUGUGACUCCUUCAGCACCUUUCGGGAAACUAAAGUCUUUGGGUUCCGGGGGGAGUAUGGUCGCAAGGCUGAAACUUAAAGGAAUUGACGGAAGGGCACCACCAGGAGUGGAGCCUGCGGCUUAAUUUGACUCAACACGGGGAAACUUACCAGGUCCAGACAUUGUGAGGAUUGACAGAUUGAGAGCUCUUUCUUGAUUCGAUGGGUGGUGGUGCAUGGCCGUUCUU